AGAGUUUGAUCAUGGCUCAGGAUGAACGCUGGCGGCGUGCUUAACACAUGCAAGUCGAACGAACCUUCGGGUUAGUGGCGGACGGGUGAGUAACGCGUGGGAAUCUGCCCUCAGGAGGGGGAUAACGGCUGGAAACGGCCGCUAAUACCCCAUAUGCCGAGAGGUGAAAUGAAUUUCGCCUGAGGAUGAGCCCGCGUCUGAUUAGCUAGUUGGUGAGGUAAGAGCUCACCAAGGCAUCGAUCAGUAGCUGGUCUGAGAGGAUGAUCAGCCACACUGGGACUGAGACACGGCCCAGACUCCUACGGGAGGCAGCAGUGGGGAAUUUUCCGCAAUGGGCGAAAGCCUGACGGAGCAACGCCGCGUGAGGGAUGAAGGCCUCUGGGCUGUAAACCUCUUUUCUCAAGGAAGAAGAUCUGACGGUACUUGAGGAAUAAGCCACGGCUAAUUCCGUGCCAGCAGCCGCGGUAAUACGGGAGUGGCAAGCGUUAUCCGGAAUUAUUGGGCGUAAAGCGUCCGCAGGCGGCCCUUCAAGUCUGCUGUUAAAAAGUGGAGCUUAACUCCAUCAUGGCAGUGGAAACUGUUGGGCUUGAGUGUGGUAGGGGCAGAGGGAAUUCCCGGUGUAGCGGUGAAAUG
rnacentral:rRNA from 1 species